AGUUAUUUUAUGCUUUCUCUAUGAUUAUUUUUGCUAAGUAUAUAUUUUAUUUAUGCUAUGUAUUAUUUUCUUCCCUUGGCAUUUUUUGCAUUUCACUAUUCGUGCGUCUCCUCGUCUUGGUAGCAGUUUCAGUGUUUGCAUCACCGUAAUCGUUUCUUCAUUAGUUGGGAACAGUUUGGAAUAUGUAGCUCGUAAUUUUUUUGAUAUUUAUUUCGGAAAUAGAUGUGUCAGUUGUCAUGUCGUUAUUUGUGAUUGCAGAAUGUCCUGGGUUAUCUAUAUAAUCCUUUUUGUUAAUCGUUUUUUUAAUUUUGCUUUAAUUCGCGUAUCGCAUAUGAAAGUUUUGG
rnacentral:lncRNA from 1 species